rnacentral:rRNA from 1 species
GACAGAGGAUGCAAGCGUUAUCCGGAAUGAUUGGGCGUAAAGCGUCUGUAGGUGGCUUUUCAAGUCCGCCGUCAAAUCCCAGGGCUCAACCCUGGACAGGCGGUGGAAACUACCAAGCUGGAGUACGGUAGGGGCAGAGGGAAUUUCCGGUGGAGCGGUGAAAUGCGUAGAGAUCGGAAGGAACACCAGUGGCGAAAGCGGCUUCCUGGUCCAGCACCGACGUUCAGGCACGAAAGCGUGGGGAGCAAACAGG